CCCCGGGGGCGCGGGCGGCCACAGCAAUCACCGGCACCACGCGCACCACCCGGCCCAGCGCGCCGCCGCUCCAGCGCCGCAGCCGCCGCCCGGCCCGGCCGCUUCUCCAGGGUCGCUGUUGUUGCGCCGGCCGCACGGCUGCAGCUCCUGCGACGAGGGCAAUGCUGCCUCGUCGCGCUGCCUCGACUGCCAGGAACACCUGUGCGACAACUGUGUCCGCGCGCACCAGCGCGUACGCCUCACCAAGGACCACUACAUCGAGCGCGGCCCGCCGGGGCCUGCGGCCGC
rnacentral:lncRNA from 1 species